GUGGGCAAGUGCAUGAGAAAAUAGUCAAAGAGUUAAGAACAAUGUUCCUCAUUGAACACUUACAAGGAAUUAAAGGAUUUCAGGAUCUAUGGUCCAUCAUAUCAUUGAAAGGUUCAGAGACCCUGGCAAAAUCACAAGAUCCACAUGUGACCGCACACUUGUUUGUUAAAUUGACAGCGCUGGCUCCAGAGCAGAGAGACUGUCUCUAAGGAUCCUCAGUGGACAUCAUUACCUCAUUGGUCAACAUUCUAAUGAGCCACAGGGGUCAGGUGGAUGCUUGCUGGCCGGUCAACAUCAACUAACAGGGUCAGGUCGUGGGGGAAGUAGCUUCAGCAGUGAUAUCCAGACCUCCCUUCCCCAUCCACUUCUUCCAGCUCUUCCGGCGGGAUGCCGAGGCGUUCCCAGCCCAGCCGAGAGACAUAGUCUCUCCAGCAUGUCCUAGGUCGUCCCCGGAUCUCUUUCCGGUUGGACUUGUCCGUAACACCUCGCCAAGGAGGCAUCCGGAUCAGAUGCCCCAGCCGCCUCAUCUGGCUCCUCUCAAUGCGCAAGAGUAGCGACUUGACACUGAUUUUGUAUCGAAACCGAAAAUUGUGGUCUUCAAAGAAACUAACGUGUCGUCUUUGACAUUGCAGAAUCAUAACACGUCUGCGCCCUUCUACAUAGAGCCACAUAAGUUUAAAAUGCUUCCAAACGUAAUAUAAUCAAUGUUAUUUUCAUAAGUGUCAAUAGAGAAGUGAAGUGCUCGGCCAACAAGGCGACGCAGGCUGUAUACAUCUACAUGGGCUGGACCUGUUGCUUAAGUUGUGGAUUGAUAUACUGUUGCAGUUCGCCGUGCAUUGCUAUCCUCGGCUAGUCUGAUCUGUUUAACGAAGUGGGAGACGA